rnacentral:tRNA from 1 species
GGCCCCAUCGUCUAACGGUUAGGACAUCACCCUUUCACGGUGUAAAUAGGGGUUCGAUUCCCCUUGGGGCUA